rnacentral:rRNA from 1 species
CAGGACGAACGCUGGCGGCGUGCCUAAUACAUGCAAGUCGAACGGUCUUUCUAUGGAAGCUUGCUCCACUGAGAAGAUAGUGGCGAACGGGUGAGUAACACGUGGGUAACCUGCCCAUAAGAGGGGGAUAACAUCCGGAAACGGGUGCUAAUACCGCAUAGUUUUCUUGAUCGCAUGAUUGAGAAAGGAAAGACGGCCUUUGUGCUGUCGCUUAUGGAUGGACCCGCGGCGUAUUAGUUAGUUGGUGAGGUAACGGCUCACCAAGACGAUGAUACGUAGCCGACCUGAGAGGGUGAUCGGCCACAUUGGGACUGAGACACGGCCCAGACUCCUACGGGAGGCAGCAGUGGGGAAUAUUGCACAAUGGGGGAAACCCUGAUGCAAGCAACGCCGCGUGAGUGAUGACGGCCUUCGGGUUGUAAAGCUCUGUCUUCAGGGACGAUAAUGACGGUACCUGAGGAGGAAGCCACGGCUAACUACGUGCCAGCAGCCGC